GAUGGAAGGAGCUGAUAUAUGACUGAAGAGAUAGAUGGAGCCCAGUCAAGGGAUUGACCUGGACUUGCUAUGGGUGGAAAUAAAUCCAGGAACAAGCUUCCCGCAGGAAGCAUAAUUGUGCUCUGCCUCUACAGCUGCAAAGCAACCAGCUCUCACUCCUCGUGGAGAUGUCUUCUCAGUCCGAUGGCUCUGCAUAUGAAGCCUGCUUACAUACAGACACACGAUAUUUCAUCUCAUGGAAGGUACCAUUAGUGAAGUGGCAUCAGGAUUUUAUGUAUCACAAAGAGAAAAACUGACCAUUAAGCAAUACAUUCCAUUCUACCACUUCGAAUUUUUUAAUGCUUAUUGAAUAAAAUUGUUUCUUUCAGACAUACAUGUUUAUGACAUGUCACUCUUUUGUAUACAUAAAAAGGAAAAUAAAUUGGCUAAUAUAUAUCUUUAAAAUUUACAUUUAGAGUCUAUUUUGAAUCACACUUUGACUCAGAGUUAUGUAGCUACAUGAUUUUUUUAAAAAAUUUCCUCCUUGCCAUCAAGAUAUAGCUUCAGUUUCAUAUUAUUCUGGAAUUUUCUUCCAAGCUGAAGACAUCCAGUCUGUUAUCAUUCUGUCUUUUAGAAGACACAAAAGGAAGAUUUUAGACAACAACCAGGACUUUUAAAUUUAUUCUUCCCUAGAUGGUCCUUAAUAGCUUAUUGAUAGAAACAUCAAGAGAUGCAGUGGCCUGGUCUUGCCACCCAGAAUAACCCAAGUUCAUGCAUGUGCAGGCACUAGUAACUCUGUCACGACUGCCACUUGGCCAGCAGCAGCUGUAACUGCCAUGGAUUGUGAAAUACGCCCUCAGUAAAAAGAUGUUAAAUGUGAACGGAAAGUACACUUUAGCAUCAAUAAAAUACAAUAGCCAUACUCUUUAGUACCAGCUUCAUCACUAAUAAAAGUGAUGUUCAGUGUCUCAUCUGCUUUAUCAUUUAGUUGUGUUUUUCAAUUUGCUCAAAAUUUGGAGAGGAAGGAUGGCUACCAUUUA
rnacentral:lncRNA from 1 species